CUUUGUGAAAAUUGUUUAUGCAAGAAGUUCAUGUUUCUGUUCUUUGUUUUGUUAAUGGAAUUUCCUAUCGGUAGGUUCUUGUUUUUGUCUUUCUAUUCAUUGCAUUUUCAUUUAAAUGGAUGUUGAAAGUAGAAGCUGAUAAGCAUGGGAAUUUAUGGGGUGUGUGUGUGUUGUAUGAAAUUUGAGAUGGGUGAAUAGAUGAUUUGUUUCGAUGCAUGUUUAAAUUGAAAUGCAAACAAAAAUAGCUAGAUUAGUGCAUUUUUUUGAAAAUUCAGGAAUAAAACUUGCGUCAAUGUAGUAGUCGUAGCAGUUUGGUGAUUAAAAAAAAAUGAUGUGUUUUUUAUCUCGAAAGCUAAAUCUGUAGGUUUACCACUUGACUUGAGGCUAUAUGUGUCAACCAUUUGGCUUUUAAUAAUUUAGAAAAAACAUAUUAAACGAUAAGGAGAGCUCAAGGAAAGAGGAAAAAAAGUGAUCCUAAAACAGAGGGAUGUAGGGAGGGCUUUUGAAAGUUGAUAUUUGGGUGCACAUAGCCCAUUUGUAAUUUGAAUCCAUUAAAUGCUGAUUGCAAUGAAAGGGUAUAAUAUCAGGGAAUUGGAGUUCAAGAUAGUGUGAAAUAUUGCCUUUGUCCUGCAGGAACGGGGAUGGUUGAUAUAGGCAAUAGUUGUUAGUAAAACAACCUUAAAUUUGCUUUUACUUGGUUCAAAACCUUUUUUACCUGUUAUUAGGAGUUCCUAUUUCAAUUUCUGAUACAUCUGAGUUUAUUGGAAACGGUUGAUUUAAGUACUUAAUAACUAGGAAGCAGAAGCUUUGACAGUUUGUCUCAGUGGAUAACAAUGAUGCCAUCAAGUUUUCUACUUCUUAGGAAACUAUCUGUUUUCAAGAUUUUUAUAUAGGUCUGCUUAUAGGAUAAGGUCUUCCAAUCUUGUGUGCAUUCCUCAGCAUUUGGACAUUUCAAAAGGUUGAUAUUUUCCUUGAAUUUGGGUUGUUGAGGUCACAAAUCAUGCACGAGUAGUUUCUGUUAACAUUAUGUUGGGAUCGAAAUUAUUUUUCAUUGUUUCACGAAUUGCAUGUAUGAAUUUCAGGCAAAUUCAGAAAGAAGGCCCUAGUACAUUAAUUACCUAAGUUUAGAGUUCUUUUAUUCAGUGCUGUAAAAAAAGAGUGCUUCAGGCAUGUAUAAGGUGCUAGGUGAAAUUUGAUGUUGAUAGUGAGACCUUGAAGGCUAAUUCCUUUCAUGUUCUCAAUGGUUAAACAUUGAUUGGAAUAAGAUCUACUUUGAGGAGUCUCAGGGACAUUUUAAUGUGGUACAAAAAAGUGACAGUUCCUUGUUAAUGGCAGGUGAUUAUUCUGGGUGUCUUUAAAGCACCCUUUGAGUUCUCAGUUUGUUAGAAUAGCAUUUCCUGAACUAAAUUGGAACUGCAUUUUACUGUAUGAUCUAUUAACGAUGUUGAGUAUUAUUCAGACUGAAAAGGAAGAAGGGUCUUUGGUGGUGAUAUAUGCAGAUGAUGGAACUUUCUCCUAUAUUCUAUCUGAGAGGACAACAAAAAUUUAUUAUUUACUGCCAAGUCGUAGUGCAGCUAAAGUGGAUAGUGAAGACCUUUCAAUCUAAAAAAAACAUUGUGCUGAUGGAAAGCCCGGGGCUAAAAUACUGUUUAUCUUAAUUUCUGUUGGAGCCUUUGAACUUGCAAUUUUCACAUUAGCAUGUUAUUUUCUAUCUUUCUUUCUUUCUUCAUUUUUUUUUCUUAACUAUAGUAGCGUUUUACUAGUUUGGGAUUAAUGCUUGUUGUUGUUGUUGUUGUUUUUGUUGUUGUAACUGAAUUGAAUCCUUCCUUCACUGAAAGAAGGCCUUAUAAAAGCCUGGCUAAUGGCCAUGCUCUGCAGUUGUUUUUAA